rnacentral:rRNA from 1 species
GUGGUUGUGAAGAUGCAAUCUACCCGCUGCUAGACGGAAAGACCCCGUGAACCUUUACUGUAGCUUUGCAUUGGACUUUGAAGUCACUUGUGUAGGAUAGGUGGGAGGCUUGGAAGCAGAGACGCCAGUCUCUGUGGAGUCGUCCUUGAAAUACCACCCUGGUGUCUUUGAGGUUCUAACCCAGACCCGUCAUCCGGGUCGGGGAUCGUGCAUGGUAGGCAGUUUGACUGGGGCGGUCUCCUCCCAAAGCGUAACGGAGGAGUUCGAAGGUUACCUAGGUCCGGUCGGAAAUCGGACUGAUAGUGCAAUGGCAAAAGGUAGCUUAACUGCGAGACCGACAAGUCGGGCAGGUGCGAAAGCAGGACAUAGUGAUCCGGUGGUUCUGUAUGGAAGGGCCAUCGCUCAACGGAUAAAAGGUACUCCGGGGAUAACAGGCUGAUUCCGCCCAAGAGUUCAUAUCGACGGCGGAGUUUGGCACCUCGAUGUCGGCUCAUCACAUCCUGGGGCUGUAGUCGGUCCCAAGGGUAUGGCUGUUCGCCAUUUAAAGUGGUACGUGAGCUGGGUUUAAAACGUCGUGAGACAGUUUGGUCCCUAUCUGCAGUGGGCG